GCCGGGAAGCGUAAUCGAUCGGCAUUGGUAUCGUGGCGAUGAGCGAUUCUCCGGAGACAUAUCCUGUACACGCGAAUUGUAACGAUCACGCGGUUCUCUGCGCGACGGUCGUCCGUACCGACGCGAUGCGACGCGACGCGACGCGGCCGAAUUAAUUGAAUCGAAACGCUCGAACGUGUGUCGGCUGGCGAACGAAAUUUAUGCGUCUUACCGUUCGAGCUCGCAAUCAGUUUUCCUCGUGUCGAGCGUGCGACGAUAACGCGCGUGCACUUGCAUUGAGUAACGCGGAUCGCACUUUAGUCCCGUUCUAACAGCGCUUUAUAUUCUUAUUGUCCUCGACACUACGCUGUUCUGUCAUCGUUAUCAAAAGAAUAUCUCAUUCGAUCGCCAACUCCUCUUCAAUUUCUAGAUCCAGCUCUAUCUAGAAGAAGGUUGUGUCAAGAAGGGCCGCAAUCUGGAAGGGUGAAGGUUCAGAAUCGAUCGACACCACCCGUCGCGCCCGGCAAUUACCGAAAUCGUAAAAGACCAGAUCGGAAACCUACACCGUUGGAAGUUUGUCAAGGAGAUCGCAACGAGUCACGAACCAUCCAUUCUCUCUCUUUCUCGCGUGCGCGCGCGUUUCGUUUUCGAGAGCGAGACGAGCAUGGAAAUUAAUCGUGUCGUUGUUGUUCAAUGCUUCGAAGCGUAGCUGAUCGGCCUCACUUUCGUAUAACUUCCUCCAUAGGAUUUUUGUUCGAUGAGAGAGAGAGAGAGAGAGAGAGAGAGAGAGAGAGAGAAGCAAUAGCAGUCGCUUCCGAACUCAAGGCAAAUUAUACCAACUUUCGCGACUCGCGAAGUCACGAGCCGCGCAACUCGAAACUUUUCAACGGUUCGAUGCGAGCCGUUGCUCUAGCCCUCCGCCGCGAUGGCUGGGUCCAUCAGACCCAGCUACAUUGUUAUUCAACUUUCUUCGAGUUCCUUCCCAGCUUCGACAAAUUCUUCGACCCGAUCGCCGCAGCACCCAUCGAAGCAAUAGCUUCCAAGUUAUAUGCAUUACUUUCGGUACAAGUAUAUUCUGUUUCUUGUUA